rnacentral:rRNA from 1 species
CAAAGGCUUCGGCCGGUAAAGGAUGGGGAUGCGUCUGAUUAGCUUGCCGGCGGGGUAACGGCCCACCGGGGCGACGAUCAGUAGGGGUUCUGAGAGGAAGGUCCCCCACAUUGGAACUGAGACACGGUCCAAACUCCUACGGGAGGCAGCAGUGAGGAAUAUUGGUCAAUGGGCGCGAGCCUGAACCAGCCAAGUAGCGUGCAGGACGGCGGCCCUAUGGGUUGUAAACUGCUUUUAUACGGGGAUAAAGUAUGCCACGUGUGGUUUAUUGCAGGUACCGUAUGAAUAAGGACCGGCUAAUUCCGUGCCAGCAGCCGCGGUAAUACGGAAGGUCCGGGCGUUAUCCGGAUUUAUUGGGUUUAAAGGGAGCGUAGGCCGGGUUUUAAGCGUGCCGUGAAAUGUCGGGGCUCAACCUUGACACUGCGGCGCGAACUGGAGUCCUUGAGUGCGCGGAACGUAUGCGGAAUUCGUGGUGUAGCGGUGAAAUGCUUAGAUAUCACGAAGAACCCCGAUUGCGAAGGCAGCAUACGGCAGCGCUACUGACGCUGAAGCUCGAAGGCGCGGGUAUCGAACAGGAUUAGAUACCCUGGUAGUCCGCGCGGUAAACGAUGGAUGCCCGCUGUUGGCGAUAUAUUGUCA